rnacentral:rRNA from 1 species
CCUACGGGGGGCAGCAGUCGAGAAUCAUUCACAAUGGGGGAAACCCUGAUGGUGCGACGCCGCGUGGGGGAAUGAAGGUCUUCGGAUUGUAAACCCCUGUCAUGUGGGAGCAAAUUAAAAAGAUAGUACCACAAGAGGAAGAGACGGCUAACUCUGUGCCAGCAGCCGCGGUAAUACAGAGGUCUCAAGCGUUGUUCGGAAUCACUGGGCGUAAAGCGUUCGUAGGCUGUUGCGUAAGUCGUGUGUGAAAGGCGCGGGCUCAACCCGCGGAAGGCACAUGAUACUGGGAGACUAGAGUAAUGGAGGGGGAACGGGAAUUCUCGGGGGAGCAGUGAAAUGCGUAGAUAUCGAGAGGAACACUCGUGGCGGAGGCGGGUACCUGGACAUUAACUGACGCUGGGGGACGGAGGCCAGGGGAGCGGAAGAGAUUAGAUACCCUUGUAGUC